rnacentral:rRNA from 1 species
GUAGGGAAUCUUCCGCAAUGGACGAAAGUCUGACGGAGCAACGCCGCGUGAGCGAAGAAGGUCUUCGGAUCGUAAAGCUCUGUUGUCAGGGAAGAACAAGUACCGUUCGAACAGGGCGGUACCUUGACGGUACCUGACGAGGAAGCCACGGCUAACUACGUGCCAGCAGCCGCGGUAAUACGUAGGUGGCAAGCGUUGUCCGGAAUUAUUGGGCGUAAAGCGCGCGCAGGCGGUUCCUUAAGUCUGAUGUGAAAUCUCGCGGCUCAACCGCGAGCGGCCAUUGGAAACUGGGGAACUUGAGUGCAGGAGAGGGGAGCGGAAUUCCACGUGUAGCGGUGAAAUGCGUAGAGAUGUGGAGGAACACCAGUGGCGAAGGCGGCUCUCUGGCCUGUAACUGACGCUGAGGCGCGAAAGCGUGGGGAGCGAACAGGAUUAGAAACCCCUGUAGUCC